GACGACAGCUGGCGGCGUGCCUAAUACAUGCAAGUCGAACGCAGUGGGGACGGGUGAGUAACACGUUGGUAACCUCCCAUCAGAGGGGAUAACACUUGGAAACAGGUGCUAAACCGAUACUGAUGGCUGACCCAGCGGUGCAUUCGCAAGUUGGUGAGGUAACGGCUCACCAAGGCCACGAUGCAUAGCCGACCUGAGAGGGUGAUCGGCGACACUAGUACUGAGACACGGCCCAGACUCCUACGUGAGGCAGCAGUAGGGAAUCUGCGGCAAUGGACGAAAGUCUGACCGAGCAACGCCGCGUGAGUGAAGAAGGUUUUCGGAUCGUAAAACUCUGUUGUUAGAGGAGCGGUAGCUAACCAGAAAGCCACGGCUAACUACGUGCCAGCAGCCGCGGUAAUAC
rnacentral:rRNA from 1 species